GGGGUAGGAGGACUAGGGCGACGGCGGGCGGAGGGGGAGCUCCGGCGAUGACGGCGACGUGCUGCGGUGUCCCAUAAACAAAACGAGUCGCGUCAAAAUGCGCGCACGGGCAAGGGGAAAGAGGAGCGAAGAACGGCUCCGGAUUCCGGAGGUUGUGGCAGCUGGAAUCUAGCGCGGACUUGACGGCGGGGCGGGCACUUGCCACGCCGGUUUGUUUCCCUUUUUUUUUUCCUUUAACCUUUUCUCUUUUUCUUUUUCUGAUUUCUUUGAUAUCUUUUGAUUUUGAACUCCAAAUUGGUCCAAAUAAAUUCCAGAAAAUUUGUAAAAUCAUGUUUUAUCAUGAUUCAACUUUUGGGAGCAAUUUUCCCUCAAAAGAAAAUAUAUAAAAAUACAUUUUCCCUAUAAAUGCCUUUAGGGCUAUAUAACUAUUUAAAUAAAAUAGUUUUUCAACUCCAAAUAAUUAUCCAAAAAUUAUGGGAUAGCUCAUUUAUGCAAUAAACCCUUUUUAUAAACAAACCCUAUUGGUUUGAAGAUCCAAAGCUCAAAUGGGUGAAAACCCUAUGGUUUAAAUUUGAAUUCAAAUAUGCAAUUAUGGCAUGAUGCUCAUGAAUGCAAUGCACAUGAAAGAAUUUGAAAUUUUGGG
rnacentral:lncRNA from 1 species